UACGUAGGGUGCGAGCGUUAAUCGGAAUUACUGGGCGUAAAGCGUGCGCAGGCGGUGAUGUAAGACAGUUGUGAAAUCCCCGGGCUCAACCUGGGAACUGCAUCUGUGACUGCAUCGCUGGAGUGCGGCAGAGGGGGAUGGAAUUCCGCGUGUAGCAGUGAAAUGCGUAGAUAUGCGGAGGAACACCGAUGGCGAAGGCAAUCCCCUGGGCCUGCACUGACGCUCAUGCACGAAAGCGUGGGGAGCAAACCGG
rnacentral:rRNA from 1 species